rnacentral:lncRNA from 1 species
AUUAAUAUAUAAAAUGUGUCAAUUUAUAUAUUACAUGUUAUAUAUCUAAAUAUGUGAAUAUAUAUAUAUAUAUAUGAGAAGUGAUGACCAUACUAAAAAACUCAAUAUCUAAAAGAAAUAAAUAGGAAACACCCCAUUUCCAAUGUUUUUGUCUCUCCCUCUAUUUAAAAAAAAAUUCUCAUAUCACAUGUUUUGUUUUAUCAAUUGCAUUUGCAUAUGUGUACAUUUGUUAUGUGUGUUUGCCUGUUAUUGUGUGGACAUUAUUUAUCUACCGCUACAUAAAAAAUCAUCCCAAUACUUGUCAACAUAAACACAUGUUUAUUAUCUUUAUUACUUCCCAGUUUCUCUGGGCAUGGCUUGGCUGGGUCUUAGCUCUGGAAAUGGCUCACUUUGGAGUUUCUCACAGAAGGGAGAUCAAGGUGUUGUCCGUGGCUGGGCUCUGAAAGUUUAAGUAGCAAAGUAUUCACUUCUAACUCAGUUUCAUGGUAGUUGGCCAGAUACUGCUCCUCAAGAGCUCUUCGACUAGAAGCUUUAGUUUCUUUCUGGCUGUUGCCUGAGGCUACCCUUCGGUUUCUUGCCAUAUGGACCACUUCAACAAGAUAAAUUGCUUUAACAAAUCUUGUGCAUUAAGUAAUAGAGAAAGCCUGAUAUUAAGAUGAAAAUAAUUUAUUUAAUCACUGAAAUGGCAUCCACUUUAACAUAUUUCUCUUCUGUUUUUCAGUAGCAAGUUAAUCCAAUAAAAGAGAUUUACACAAGGCCAUGAAUACCAGGGGCAGGGAUUAUUAGGGCUGCAUAAAACGGGUUGUAGGUUGGGUCCUGAGUCAAUUCUCUUGUUACAUAGAUUGUCCUUGCAAGCUUGCUUUGAUAUUCCUGUUUUAUUGUUUUGUUUUGUUUUGUGUGUUUGUUUGUUUUAUGCCUUCAGUUUUCUACAAUUGACAAUCUUAUACCUAAUUUAAUUUUGUUUUAUAAAUGUCUUUUGCUCUCUGGCUGCAUACUCAUUUAAGACCUUUGUGUUCAUGGGCAGGGCUUGUAAAACAGAAUUCCUUAUUAUGUGUUCCGAUUAGGCUGGGUUUGGGUAUUCCAAAUAUUCAAGAUUUUUUUUCUUCCUUUGUUUUUAUACUUUCUCCCUUUCUUUCUUCCUUUCCCACGUGCAUUCAUCCUUUGGUAGAGGCAUAUUUUAAUCUUCUGACUGGACUGUAUAAUCCUCGAUAACUCUUUUGAGCCUAGUAGGGAAAUUAAACUGGCAGUGGGAGAAGUUUUCACCCUUUGGUUGAUAGAUUUCUUUAACUGUUACUGCCUUUAGAUGGGAAUUUGUCUUUCAUUCCACUUUGACAGAAUUUUUUGUCUUUCUUGUGAUAGAAAUACUACUACUAAUAAUAAUGCUUGUUUUCUGGCCUACUUUAGUAUUCUUGGAAUUCCUUGGUGGCUCAGCAGGUUAAGGAUCCAGCAUUGUUGCUGCUGUGGCUCUGGUCACUGCUGUGUGCAGGUUCUACCCUUGGCCACAGGCACGAACAAACAAAUCAAAACAAAAACCAACAACAACACUCUCUGUGAUAAUUGCUAACCCCAAUUCAUGAAUCUUUCUGAAAUUCAUUUACACAAAUAAAAAUUCUUCCAACAAUGUUGAGGAAAGUUUUAAACUUUCAUGUAUUUUCUAAAUCAGUUAUCUCUUGUGUCUUCUCUUUCCAGGCUUCCUUGUAUUGCUGCUAUUUUAAUUUUUCUAAUUUUUUGUUGGUUUAUGCUUUUUUAUUUUAUAAUUUUAUUGUUAUUAAAAUGACUCUUGGGGGGAAUGGAGGUAAAUACAUAAUUCAACAGUCUUUUCCAGAUGUGUUUUAUUUUACUAUUAUUUUUCAUAUUCAGCUUCGAAUUACUUUGUACAUCUCUACAAAGUUAAUGUUCCAUUAUUUUAUCCAUGUUUUGCUUAAUGAAUUUUAAAACACCACAAGACAAAAUUCAAAUAUCUUUCUUCUGGAACCACUUUCUGCUUCAGGACUUGACUCAUAUUUUCUCUAACAUUGACACUGUUUCUUCCCAUCCCCUACUGGCUAAGGCCUUACUUCAUCCUGACCACUCUUACUUUUUGUUCCCAUUGCCUGUAAAUGUAUGCUAAUCCCAUUUACAAUUGAGGGCUUCUGGAAGUGUUUAUUUGCUUAAGUCAAAUAAGAUUAAGUGUGAGACUCAGUAUUUGUUCCUAGAACCGCUAAUUUCAAAGUAUAGCGUUUUCGCAUUGCACUAAGAUGCUCUAUAACUGGAAGUUCAAGUCUGAAAUUCUCUGGAUUGCAUGUUUAUUAUGUUAAUACACUAUCUAACACAUGUGCUAUAAUAUAAAAAAAUUUAAAAAUAUAAAAAAAAUCUGUACUUCCCCUUUGCAAGAGAAAUUAUAUAUUCAAGAGAAAGGUGGAGGCAUGCCAGAGAAUUAUUUAGGAAAAAAAAAACAAUUUUUUAAAUACCCUUUUAGCUCAUUUUUUACUGUAGAUUUGUGUCCUUCUUUAUUACAGGCAUUUUAUUCUAAGCAAAACUGAAUAAUUGAGGGUUUUUGUUAUAUAAUUGCCUAUUGAUUUGUACAACAAAAUAGCUAUAUUAAUUUAAAAUAAUAACAUUGGUUUUAUUUAACUUUUUUGUUUUAAGAACAUCUCUAAAACUUCUUCAUUUGAUGCUAAGAAAAAAAUUUUAUAGGGAGAAAUAUUCUAAUUUUUCUGAUUUGAAUUUGAGGUUUUUUUAAUUAUGUAAAACCCUGAAACUGUUUCUUUCUCUUGUGUGUAUGAUUUGAAGAGUCUACUCAAGCAAAUUGUGUUUCUAGCACAUGAAAAUUUAAUUAUGAGAAUUUGUUUAUUUUGCUGGAUUCAAAGUGGAAGUCAGACAUCACUGAUUUAUGCUUAGUUAACCCCACAGACAAUAUUGAAACAAACAAGCUGGAUCACUCAGGUUCACGGUAACUGCAUAUUAUAUGGGGAAUUUCUGAGAAUAUCGGGCUAUGGCAAGAGUAAAUAUGUAAAUAUAUGUAUAUAUUUGUUAGAAAACACCAGAGCCAACUGUAAAAUAAAUGAAAAACAAAUACAAUCUGAAAGAUCUUAGAUAUUUACUUCAAAAGUUCUGUUUCUAUUUAAUACAUAUAAAUAGCAAUACUAAUUGUAGUGUUUCUAUAGGUUAUUUCAUCAAAAUUAUGUUUCUCUGAAUUCUCAAAUAUAUAGUGAUAGGUUAACUCAUUUUGUUAUUUAAUACAGAAAUAUGUAUUCAGAGAUUUAAAGAACAUCUUUUUUUUAUGUUUUUUUUUUUUUUUUGCUAUUUCUUGGGCCACUCCCCCGGCAUAUGGAGGUUCCCAGGCUAGGGGUCCAAUCGGAGCUGUAGCCACCGGCCUCCUCCAGAGCCACAGCAACGCGGGAUCCGAGCCGCGUCUGUAACCUACACCACAGCUCAUGGCAACGCCGGAUCAUUAACCCGCUAAGCAACUGCAGGGACCGAACCCUCAACCUCAUGGUUCCUAGUCGGAUUCUUUUAACCACUGCGCCACGACAGGAACUCCUAAAGAACAUCUUUCAACUAUGAAUAACUAUCUCUUGGAAGGAAUUAGUUUGUGAUUGUACUAUUAUCGAUCUGUAUUGUUCAACAUGUUUCCUUUGGGGGAAGUGUAUGUCAGCAUUCUCAUAUAGAAAUAAUCUAUUCUGUUAUUAAGGGACUUCAGAAAAUGAUUCAGAAGAGCUGGAAGCAACACCUGUCAAUUUUUUAACAUUCCUUGAAUUAGGGAAAUAUUUUAUACAUAAACAUUCCCAUUGUGUGUAACUCAAAGCUGUUAUAACCCUCAAGAUCAAAGAUCAUCAGAACACAAUUCUAACCAUAAUAGCCACUGCUACCCAUGGUCUGUCACUGAUUAUCUAAUAAUUAUAAAUCAUAGAGAAUGCUAGAAUUUGCUUUUUCAUCAUUCCUGAGUUCCUGAAUAGAGUUGGAAUAGGAAAUUUAUUCAGCGAUAUGUUGCAUAAUAGACUUCAUGUUUCCCUUGUUUUCCUUUCAUUAUCUUUUGUUUCAUUUUGCCUUGUUUAGUUUACUCACUAGUCAACAUAUUUCAUCUGAUAAUUAACUUUCAUUCUUUUGAGAAAACUGGGUAAUAGCAAACAAUAUAAAUCUAUUCUCAAGACACAAUUGCAUCCUUCACUUUACUAUGUGAAUUUAUGGCAUGGUUCAUAUUUUGAUGUAUAUAUUUUUGCAUGCUGAAAAUUCAUUUUUUUAAGGCUCAAUAGGGUAGAGCCAUAUCAUCUUUCUCAAGAAAUUUGACAUAUCUGUUAGGUCACAUGUAGAUAAAGGUCAAAGUAUAAACUGUAAAGUUAUUUCUUUUCAGAACCAAUUGUGUAUUUAUAUGAACCAAGAAAGUAUCUCAAUAGUACUACACAUCAACAUUGUUGAAAGAACCUCUUUUCAUAGAGAUGCUGUCUUCAAUAUGAAGUAAUCUUUUCUCCCCAAAUUGUUUGACUAAACAUUGGGGUAUUUUAUCUCAAAUAUCUGCUUGUCUAUUCACAUGAUACCAAAUUUUACUAUAAAAGGUUCUCUUCCCUAGUUUAAUACCUUAUUAUAUAUUAUGCCACAUUUAUUAUCUAUCUCUCUAGGGUAAUACAAGUGUCCUGUUUUGCAUGUGGUUUCCAAUAUCUGCCGUCGGCUUAAACAGGGAAUGUAAGGAAUGUCCAGUUGAGAAACUGCCAGAGGCAUUCAAAUGAGCCAUAUGUCAUUAGCGGGCAUUAUUUGCUCAUAAAUCUCAUAUUUAUUGGGAGCAUUUUUCAAUUCCAGAAGGUGAUCAUAAAGUUAUCUUGUCUGUGUGUUGGAACAGUGGCAAACAGAAAAUGCUCUCACAAAAUCAUUAGACUGAAGCUAAGUCUGAUGGCUUGAAAUAGAUUCUUAUGUGGAAAAGAACAUCAAGAAGUAUGACACUCACCAAGCAACCUCGUAUAAAUAUGAAAAAUGGCUAAGGACUCUGUCAAAAAUUCAAAUUGAUUUCACAAUUGUAUUGCAACAAGAACACUAGGAUGGUUUUAGUUGCUUCAGAAUAGCUGCUGUGAAUUCUGUGUCUACAUCAUAUCUUUGAUGUGGCAUGCAGUGUUAUUCCAAAGUCACUUGAAGGAGCAGAAUUAUCUCCUCUGGACCAUUUGCUAUUGCUUUUAAAAGAAGCUUCUCAAGCUCUUACUCUU